rnacentral:rRNA from 1 species
CCUACGGGAGGCAGCAGUCGAGAAUCAUGCACAAUGGGGGAAACCCUGAUGGGGCGACGCCGCGUGGGGGAAUGAAGGUCUGCGGAGGGUAAACCCCUGUCAUGGGGGAGCAAAUUAAAAAGAUAGUACCACAAGAGGAAGAGACGGCUAACUCGGUGCCAGCAGCCGCGGUAAUACAGAGGGUUCAAGCGUGGUUCGGAAUCACUGGGAGUAAAGGGUGCGGAGGCUGUUUCGUAAGUCGGGUGUGAAAGGCGCGGGCUCAACCCGCGGACGGCACCUGAUACUGCGAGACUAGGGUAGUGGAGGGGGAACCGGAAUUCUCGGUGUAGCCG